UCACGUGAGAGUUAAAUCAAACGCAGUCGAGUCAGUCGCGCUUGCACAUAUAUAAAAAAUAAAUAUUUGCUAUAUAUGGGAGAUACCGUAAUCAUUGGGGAAAUCCAGCGUGGUGAAAUCACACGCUAGGUGGUACGGUCUGGGAUUGAUCGGACAAUCGCACAGUCUAUUAGGCUGACUCGUAAAUUGACUCUGAAAACCACGAGCAGGAAAACAGAAGAGCGCAUAAACCCGCAGCAACAACAGAGCUAUAUGGGCUUAUAACUUUCGCAAUCAUCCUGCCUGCCUACCAGAGAACCUGAAGUCAAGAGGGACACCGAAAACAGUUUGAUUUAUAAACACAGACAUCAUGGUGAUCAUCACAGCGUUAGUCGUUGGAGCAGCCAGUCUAGGCAUCAUGACCUACGGUCCGGCCUUACUGGGGUUCAAGUCAGCAGGGAUAGCAGCCGGCUCAGUGGCUGCCUCCAUGAUGUCUCAAUCGGCCGUGGCAGCCGGUGGCGGUGUAGCAGCCGGAGGAGUAGUGGCUACGCUUCAGUCCGUAGGAGCAGCAGGCUUGGGUGCUGCUGGCUACGCCGCGUCGGGAGCCAUCGGUGCUGUGUCCGGUUAUCUCUUUGGCCGCAAGUGAUGUGGGAAUCUACGAAACCAAAUAAUGCUUCAAUCGAAAUUCACCAGUCACCUCGCCAGACAAUUAUCGAAAUUAUCACUCAUUGCGGAAAUACUUGACAAGUAGUUAAAGGGUGUGCAAAACUGUGAAUCCAUCUUAUUACUAAUCUACAAUGGUUAUUUACAAAACAUCUCGCGAGACAACUCGAGUUUAACUUCCUUUAAUGAUGUUACAGCCAAUAUGUGAAAUGAAUUAGGAAAAAUCACACUAUUGUUGAAAUCAGCUAGUACAUGUGAAACCUUUACUAAGUAGACAACAUUUGGACUAGAGUUAUUAGGGAUCUAUACGACCUUAAUUCGGGGAUUACAUACUUCUUUCCAGUUGGUAGAUCAUCAUCAUUCGAAGAUCGUGAAGAAUCCCAUGGUAUCUAUCAGUUACCUUGUCUUUUGAUUCUAAACCAGAUUACAAAGUCAGUACUUGCAAGUUAUUUAAGACUAAAAUAACCAGAAAAUAAAAAUCUAAAAUUUUUGAAAACUGAAAAUAAGUCAUUCCCCUUGUUUCAAUUAAUUUACUUUACGUCUGAAGA